rnacentral:rRNA from 1 species
AUAGUCCCGUACACGAAAGGUGAAUCAGAGGAGCAACAAAGAGUAGGACGAGGCACGUGAAACCUUGUUUGAACAUGGGGGGACCAUCCUCCAAGGCUAAAUACUCCUUACUGACCGAUAGUGAACCAGUACCGUGAGGGAAAGGCGAAAAGAACCCCGGAGAGGGGAGUGAAAUAGAACCUGAAACCGUAUACGUACAAGCAGUGGGAGCCCUUCGGGGUGACUGCG